GCGAAAGUAAGACUAAUACCCAAUGAUAUCCCACGAAGGCAUCCGAAUGGGAUUAAAGAUUUAUCGGUGAUGGAUGGGGAUGCGUCUGAUUAGCUUGUUGGCGGGGUAACGGCCCACCAAGGCAACGAUCAGUAGGGGGUUCUGAGAGGAAGGUCCCCCACAUUGGAACUGAGACACGGUCCAAACUCCUACGGGAGGCAGCAGUGAGGAAUAUUGGUCAAUGGGCGAGAGCCUGAACCAGCCAAGUAGCGUGCAGGAUGACGGCCCUAUGGGUUGUAAACUGCUUUUAUAAGGGAAUAAAGUGGGUCUCGUGAGACUUUUUGCAUGUACCUUAUGAAUAAGGACCGGCUAAUUCCGUG
rnacentral:rRNA from 1 species